rnacentral:lncRNA from 1 species
UUGUAAGCAUGGUGAUAUCAUAACAAAGAUUAAUUUACUUGUAUAUCAACAAGAAAAGAAGACCUUGUAAGCAUGGCAAUAUCAUAACAAAUAUUAAUUUACAUGUAUAUCAACAAGAAAAAAAGAAAGCAAUAAUUAAGAAUGCAAAGCCCAUUAAAAAAAAGGCCUGGACAACACUAUUGUAUAACAAAUUCAUAUAAUGCAAGAGUUGUUGCGGCACUCUCCUUCAUCAAACACAUAUUGCAACCAAAGGCGCCCAUUCUCCUAGUUUUCAGAAUUUUCAUCCUUGUAAAGCAUAUUUGGUGCGCUUUUUCCAACUCCAGAUGCUGCUCUGCCUACUCUUUAAUACUCUAGUCGAAAGUGUCACAUGAACGCCCCUUAAUGAUAGAUAACUGAGUGUGAUGCUUUAUUACCUCAAAUAUAAAUUUAACCAUUCCAAUUCUUAUUUUACAGCUGUCAAAGUUCAAUGAUGGAUAAACACAUCAAGAAAUUGAGUUUACAUAAAAGUGACACAUUGGAAUUCAUCCUUCUUCCUCCAAUUAAAAAAUAGCAUAAGUUCAAUAUCCAGAGUACAGUUCGAGUCGAAUAAUUGGAGAGGUCCAAUCCUCCCAUGAUAGCAAAAGACUACAAUCAAGAAGGCAUUGACAAUGAAUACAAAUAUAGCAUAGUAGUCAAGCCAAUCAAUAUUCAAACUAUUUCAAUUUUUUGUGCAAUGAAUUGGUUUCUAGGGUAAUUACAUAUAAAGAUCUAGUUCUCUUUGGAGACUCGAAGAAAUGUGCUUUUCAGGUGCAAUUACAGGUUCCAAAUAUGUCAUUGCAACAUACUGUGUAAACAAAAUAGCCCUAAUAUAUGCAUUAACGCUUGGUCUACUUCAUAAUUUGGAUCAAUGCAAAUUGAGAAAAACAACCAAUGUGGGUGAGUUCAUUUACUCCUGAAAAAAAAAACUCAUUUUGAUACCACUACAAAAAAGAAGAAUUUGAUUCAAGGCUGAAAUAAUUCUAUCCAACGGAUGAGAGAUAUGGAUAAAGAUUAACAACUACGAGAUUCCAAAUCUUGAUUGCCAGUAGAUCCUGUAGGUACUUAUGAUUAGAAUUUUACUGACCAUAUUACGUAUUUAUAAAGAUUUACAUAAGAAUACAUCCAUAUGAGUAGUUUUUGUGUUUACCAACAGAAUUCAACACUUUUAAAGUAUUCACUGAUAUUAUCUGUGUUUCUUAUGAUUAUAAAGGAACCAAUUCAAGAUUUAGUAGGCCUAGGGACAAGCAUGAGUCAGCUCAACACGAGCAAUAUAUUUAAAAUUUAUAACAAAACAUAGACAUGAGCUUACUGUCAAAUAUACAUUCAAAGAAAUUAUUACCCAAAAAUGGACAAGAGUAUUAGGCAUGGCAUACAAGAUAUGUACAUAAAACAACAAACACAAGUUUCAAAGACUCCUGAUAAACAAUUCAUGAAUUUCUCUAAGCCCAACAGGGUGUAAUAGGGAUUCUUAGAAACCUAAGCCAUGUAGUUCCAUAUUCUUUUAAAAUUAGAAAAACCUGAAACUCGUUAAUUCCAGGAACUUGUUCCUAUACUGAUUAGAAUUCACCAAUACACGUAUAAGAUAACAAUCAAAAAAGAAAAGCUAAACAUCAGCUUAAUUUUUACAAGAUAUCCAGAAUUAAAAAAAAAACUGAAUAUUUAUGAACGCCCAUAUAUAAUUUCUAUUUCUAUAGAAAAUUGCAAUUUUGCGCAGCAAAGCCCAAAAAUUUCAUGCCAUUCAGAAAAUGAAACUAUAAUUUACAAAUAACGAACUAUUUUUUCAGAAAAGAUUGUGAAAUUCCACACCACUGACAAACACAUGGAGAUCAAAGACUAGAUCAUCUACCAUAAACUAUUAAAGCACAAGGGAAUCAAGAACAAGGCUCCUAAUCCGAAUACUGCUUUUAAUCUGAACCAAAAAGGUGGUCCAAAUCCUGUCUUGGAACUGGAAAAAAGAAAACCCGUUGCUCGAUGAAAGAGAGAGAGGGCACAGAAAUCAGAUAGACAUAAAGAGGCUGAAAAUGCGCGUGAGAAAGUGUAGAGAUUGUAUUUAAAUUUUGGGACUUAGGGGAAUGGGUUCAAUUAUAACUAACUGAUUACACAGCAGUCAUACAAUUCAACUAAAAAUAAAUAAAAUAAACCAACAAAUUCCUGAAAUCAGUAACAAUCCAACAAAAUUU